rnacentral:lncRNA from 1 species
UAAGAGUGAAAAGAGUGAGUAGAGAGAGAGAGAAAUCUUGUAACUCCUCUUGUAAGUCUAUAUUUUCUUCUAUUUCAAAGUUUUAUAAAGUUGUAUGUUUGUUUAAAGCUUUCAAAGUUGUUUAUAUGUCCAUGUUCAAAGUCUGUUAUUAUUAAUAAAGCAAUUCAAAGUUUAUCUUCUUUAUCUAUCUUCUUCUUUCCCCCAUCAUCAAGCGUAUGCUCUGUGCUUGCCUCGUCUGAGGAUCAUGCACAUCAGAAACUU